GCCGAUACGGACCAAAAUUCCGCCUUUACCUCCGCUGCUGCAAGUCCAGCAAUACGCUCCAUUCUCACGAACUCCUCUUUGGUCUGGAGGCGGAAAUACUAAGGGUUUCUGUGCUGUAUUGUAAUUCAAAGCGCUCGAAAGCCAUUUCUUGGCGGCUUCCAGUGAUUCCCGUUUGGACAUGUCAUAGGUGGCUACAAUAACUGAAAGAGAGGCUGAAAUUGUGACCCAGUAUACUAAAGUUCUCUAGCUCGAAAUCAACGCCAAUUGUGGCUUUAUAGUUAGACUGGAAUUUGUCAUAGCAGAAGCUGGAAAAGAAGAAAUUUACAAGGGAAUCAUUCACAAUAAGCCGCAGUUAGUUAUCAGCGGAGCAGCAGGCGUCAUUCACAGUGGGUUGUGAAUGAUUCACAAUGAUCGGUUGACAGCCAACAAACGAGCUGGAAGCAGCUAUUCACAAUGACUAGCAGCUAAAUAGCAUUGGAAUGCUUCAUAAUGAGCAGCAAAUGGCUACCAGCUGGUUAGCUGGAACCAUUCACAAUGAGCAACCGUUUGCUAUCAGCUUCCCAAUUUAAAUUAUUCACAAUGAUUGGAUGAGAGCUGAUUAGCAGCUAAUCAGCAUAGAUGUCAUUCACAUUGAGUAGCGGUUAGCUCUAGCCAUUCACAAUGAGUAGCAGUUGACGCACCGAUUCACCAUGGCCGUUUUGCCCACAGCACAGUCACCCACGAAGAUGACCUUGCAGG